AAGGAUCAUUACUGAGUGAGGGCCCUCUGGGUCCAACCUCCCACCCGUGUUUAUUGUACCUUGUUGCUUCGGUGCGCCCGCCUCACGGCCGCCGGGGGGCUUCUGCCCCCGGGUCCGCGCGCACCGGAGACACUAUUGAACUCUGUCUGAAGAUUGCAGUCUGAGCAUAAACUAAAUAAGUUAAAACUUUCAACAACGGAUCUCUUGGUUCCGGCAUCGAUGAAGAACGCAGCGAAAUGCGAUAACUAAUGUGAAUUGCAGAAUUCAGUGAAUCAUCGAGUCUUUGAACGCACAUUGCGCCCCCUGGUAUUCCGGGGGGCAUGCCUGUCCGAGCGUCAUUGCUGCCCUCAAGCACGGCUUGUGUGUUGGGCUCCGUCCCCCCGGGGACGGGUCCGAAAGGCAGCGGCGGCACCGAGUCCGGUCCUCGAGCGUAUGGGGCUUUGUCACCCGCUCUGUAGGCCCGGCCGGCGCCAGCCGACAACCAAUCAUCCUUUUUUCAGGUUGACCUCGGAUCAGGUAGGGAUACCCGCUGAACUUAA
rnacentral:rRNA from 1 species